ensembl:lncRNA
GCAGUAUAGAUCCUAUGAAGCGGAAAUCAUAGAACAAUAGACGAUGUAGACAGGAAACGAGUUUGUUGGUUGACCAGUUGCCUUUAUAACAAAUUUAACCUAAUCUAUACAAUUUAUAUGAAAGUCAAAGCACUCCGAUUUUUAAGAGAGACUGGUAUGCUAGUUGUUUGACACCACGAGAUCCAGAAUGAGACGGUGAACACAAAGACCUGCGCGAGGGUAGCAUCGAGGUAGCCUUCCACAAGUUUCCCCGUUGGGUGAAUUUUAGCCCAUUCCUCCUGACAGCGCUGGUGUAACUGAGUCAGGAAAUGGCUUCCUGAAAUCCCUCAAGCAGCUGAUUGGUCGACUCCAGGGCUAAUUGGAGAGCUGACCCCGCCCCCUCAUCAAGACACAGCUGUCUCCAAUUACCCAUUCCUUCAGAAGCUAUAUAAAAGCCAGUGUUCUGUUCAGGAGGAAGAUCUUUUUGUAGAGGAUUUUGCUGGAGGUAGAUUUGCUAGAGAGAUUUGCUGGGAGGUCAUUGUAGAGAUUUUGCUAGAGGUUGAUUUUGCUGGGAGUUCAUUGCUGAGAGUUGGUAUGUUUUGUGAGUUUGUUGCUCAGAUAGAACUUAUUUGAUGUCCUUUGUCUCUUAGUUUGUUUGUUUGAAAUUGUUUAAUAUUCUGUUUCAUUUGUUCCCAGGGGGGGAAGGGGAAGGCACCUAGGGAGUGCUUAGGCAAGAGGCCCGCGGGCAUACAUACACCCGUAGCAUAAUCGCUGUCUAGGCACACUAGGUAAGACCUGGGCGG